rnacentral:lncRNA from 1 species
ACCAAGAAUUUUUUUUAUCUUUCUCGUCGAUCAUUAACAAUAUAGCAACAGGCACAUCUAGCAAAAGUCAAGUUAAAUUUUGCCGGUUUCAAAAGUAUAUCCAGCAAAGGGAGACUGAAGAAUCACCAAACGUAAGCUCGAAAGAAGACUUAGAAUUAGGAUGAACUACCUUAAAAUUAACUGAACUUCCCCAUAUUUUCAAGCUCAAAAAUAAAAAGAUCCAAUAUGAGAUGGAAGAGCUUUGCCAUAUCUAUCUAGGUUACCAGCAGAAACGGAUUUCUUAUCUUCAGGAUGUAAUUUCUG